rnacentral:rRNA from 1 species
UACGGAGGACCCAAGCGUUAUUCGGAUUUAUUGGGUUUAAAGGGUGCGUAGGCGGAUUGGUAAGUCAGAGGUGAAAUCCCACAGCUUAACUGUGGAACUGCCUUUGAUACUGCCAACCUUGAGUACAGAUGAUGUGGGCGGAAUAUGACAUGUAGCGGUGAAAUGCUUAGAUAUGUCAUAGAACACCAAUUGCGAAGGCAGCUUACUACCCGAAUAUUGACACUGAGGCACGAAAGCGUGGGGAUCAAACAGG